rnacentral:rRNA from 1 species
CCUACGGGUGGCAGCAGUCGAGAAUUUUUCUCAAUGGGGGAAACCCUGAAGGAGCGACGCCGCGUGGAGGAUGAAGGUCUUCGGAUUGUAAACUCCUGUCAUUUGAGAACUAGUAUCAGAAGAGGAAGAGACGGCUAACUCUGUGCCAGCAGCCGCGGUAAUACAGAGGGCUCAAGCGUUGUUCGGAUUCAUUGGGCGUAAAGGGAGCGUAGGCGGUCGGGUAAGUUGGAUGUGAAAUCCUGGGGCUCAACCUCAGAACUGCAUUCAAUACUGCUUGGCUAGAGUAUUGGAGAGGUGAGUGGAAUUCACGGUGUAGCAGUGAAAUGCGUAGAUAUCGUGAGGAAGACCAGCGGCGAAGGCGGCUCACUGGACAUACUGACGCUGAUGCGCGAAGGCUAGGGGAGCAAACGGGAUUAGAUACCCCUGUAGUC